UCAAUGUGGAGACCAGAAACCACUUAUAAAAACGGGGCAAAUUCCGAAAAGCCAAAUAAUUUGGAAAAAA
rfam:Chryseobacterium koreense CCTG 49689 contig01, whole genome shotgun sequence.